rnacentral:rRNA from 1 species
CCAAGGUAGGUAUUACUGAGUUACGCUCUACAACCCUUUGUGACAUACCUAUAACUGUUGCUUCGGCGGGUAGGGUCUCCGCGACCCUCCCGGCCUCCCGCCUCCGGGCGGGUCGGCGCCCGCCGGAGGAUAACCAAACUCUGAUUUAACGACGUUUCUUCUGAGUGGUACAAGCAAAUAAUCAAAACUUUUAACAACGGAUCUCUUGGUUCUGGCAUCGAUGAAGAACGCAGCGAAAUGCGAUAAGUAAUGUGAAUUGCAGAAUUCAGUGAAUCAUCGAAUCUUUGAACGCACAUUGCGCCCGCCAGCAUUCUGGCGGGCAUGCCUGUUCGAGCGUCAUUUCAACCCUCAAGCUCUGCUUGGUGUUGGGGCCCUACAGCUGAUGUAGGCCCUCAAAGGUAGUGGCGGACCCUCUCGGAGCCUCCUUUGCGUAGUAACUUUACGUCUCGCACUGGGAUCCGGAGGGACUCUUGCCGUAAAACCCCCAAUUUUCCAAAGGUUGACCUCGGAUCAGGUAGGAAUACCCGCUGAACUUAAGCAUAUCAAUAAG